UACGUAGGGCGCAAGCGUUGUCCGGAAUUAUUGGGCGUAAAGAGCUCGUAGGCGGCCUGUUGCGUCCGCUGUGAAAUCCCGGGGCUCAACCCCGGGCCUGCAGUGGAUACGGGCUGGCUAGAGGCAGGCAGGGGAGAACGGAAUUCCUGGUGUAGCGGUGAAAUGCGCAGAUAUCAGGAGGAACACCGGUGGCGAAGGCGGGUCUCUGGGCAACAACUGACGCUGAGGAGCGAAAGCGUGGGGAGCGAACAGG
rnacentral:rRNA from 1 species